ACGUGCUGCUGUCCUGUCUGCUCGCGUCAGCCAUGUUGACGGUCUGCCUGUGUCUUUCAGCUUUCCAGCCACCAGAACUAGUGUGAAUUCUCCUUGCUGUCUGAGGACUACACAUCUGAGUUGUUGCCUGGAGCCAAAGGACAGACAGGGGCUGUCUGGUGUGGGUCACACAGCUGGAGAACAUACGCUGAGGGACAUUGCCCAGGGGAAUGCCACACUGCAGAGCCACAAACACAAGCUGUGGAUGUCACCUACCUACCACCUUCUUUGUGCUGCGGUCUGCCUGCCUUCUCACAGGUUGGUGAUUGGUCUAAAAGAGG